AUUGAACGCUGGCGGCAGGCCUAACACAUGCAAGUCGAGCGGAUGAAGGGAGCUUGCUCCUGGAUUCAGCGGCGGACGGGUGAGUAAUGCCUAGGAAUCUGCCUGGUAGUGGGGGAUAACGUCCGGAAACGGGCGCUAAUACCGCAUACGUCCUGAUGGAGAAAGUGGUGGAUCUUCGGACCUCACGCUAUCAGAUGAGCCUAGGUCGUAUUAGCUAGUUGGUGGGGUAAAGGCCUACCAAGGCGACGAUCCGUAACUGGUCUGAGAGGAUGAUCAGUCACACUGGAACUGAGACACGGUCCAGACUCCUACGGGAGGCAGCAGUGGGGAAUAUUGGACAAUGGGCGAAAGCCUGAUCCAGCCAUGCCGCGUGUGUGAAGAAGGUCUUCGGAUUGUAAAGCACUUUAAGUUGGGAGGAAGGGCAGUAAGUUAAUACCUUGCUGUUUUGACGUUACCAACAGAAUAAGCACCGGCUAACUUCGUG
rnacentral:rRNA from 1 species